rnacentral:rRNA from 1 species
GUACCUACGGGGCGCAGCAGUGAGGAAUAUUGGUCAAUGGGCGCGAGCCUGAACCAGCCAAGUAGCGUGAAGGAUGACUGCCCUACGGGUUGUAAACUUCUUUUAUAAAGGAAUAAAGUGAGGCACGUGUGCCUUUUUUUAUGUACUUUAUGAAUAAGGAUCGGCUAACUCCGUGUCAGCAGCCGCGGUAAUACGGAGGAUCCGAGCGUUAUCCGGAUUUCUUGUGUUUAAAGGGAGCGUAGAUGGGUUGUUAAGUCAGUUGUGAAAGUUUGCGGCUCAACAGUAUCAUUGCAAUUGAUACUGGC